rnacentral:rRNA from 1 species
AGCGAACGCUGGCGGCGUGCUUAACACAUGCAAGUCGAGCGAAGGUGUUUCAAGGGUAACCUUGAGAUACACUUAGCGGCGGACGGGUGAGUAAUACGUGGAUAACUUACCUCUAGGCCUGGGAUAACCCCGGGAAACUGGGGCUAAUACCUGAUAAGACCACAUUGUCUACGGACAAAGGGGUAAAAGGUGGCUGUGCAAACAGCUAUCGCCAAAAGAUAGGUUCACGUCCCAUCAGGCAGUGGUGAGGUAAUGGCUCACCAAACCAAAGACGGUAGCCGGCCUUGGCGGGUGAACGGCCACACGGGGACGUGAGACACGGCCCCGACCUCCUACCGGGAGGGCAGCAGUGGGGAAGUAUUGGGCGAAUGGGCGGCAAGCCUCGACCCAGCGACGUCGCGUU